UACAGAGGAGCCAAGCGUUGUCCGGAUUGACUGGGCGUAAAGCGCACGCAGGCGGUUGCGCGCGUGGGGUGUGAAAUCUGGCCGCUUAACGGCCAGGCGCCAUCCCAUACGGCGCGACUGGAGUGAUGCAGAGGUCGAUGGAAUUGCCGGUGUAGUGGUGAAAUGCGUAGAGAUCGGCAGGAACACCCAGGGGGAAACCAGUCGACUGGGCAUCUACUGACGCUGAGGUGCGAGGAGCGUGGGGAGCGAACCGG
rnacentral:rRNA from 1 species